UUAUUGGGCGUAAGAGCUCGUAGGCGGUUUGUCGCGUCUGCCGUGAAAGUCCGGGGCUCAACUCCGGAUCUGCGGUGGGUACGGGCAGACUAGAGUGAUGUAGGGGAGACUGGAAUUCCUGGUGUAGCGGUGAAAUGCGCAGAUAUCAGGAGGAACACCGAUGGCGAAGGCAGGUCUCUGGGCAUUAACUGACGCUGAGGAGCGAAAGCAUGGGGAGCGAACAGGAUUAGAUACCCUGGUAGUCCAUGCCGUAAACGUUGGGCACUAGGUGUGGGGGACAUUCCACGUUUUCCGCGCCGUAGCUAACGCAUUAAGUGCCCCGCCUGGGGAGUACGGCCGCAAGGCUAAAACUCAAAGGAAUUGACGGGGGCCCGCACAAGCGGCGGAGCAUGCGGAUUAAUUCGAUGCAACGCGAAGAACCUUACCAAGGCUUGACAUGAACCGGUAAGACCUGGAAACAGGUCCCCCGCUUGCGGUCGGUUUACAGGUGGUGCAUGGUUGUCGUCAGCUCGUGUCGUGAGAUGUUGGGUUAAGUCCCGCAACGAGCGCAACCCUCGUUCUAUGUUGCCAGCACGUGAUGGUGGGGACUCAUAGGAGACUGCCGGGGUCAACUCGGAGGAAGGUGGGGACGACGUCAAAUCAUCAUGCCCCUUAUGUCUUGGGCUUCACGCAUGCUACAAUGGCCGGUACAAAGGGUUGCGAUACUGUGAGGUGGAGCUAAUCCCAAAAAGCCGGUCUCAGUUCGGAUUGGGGUCUGCAACUCGACCCCAUGAAGUCGGAGUCGCUAGUAAUCGCAGAUCAGCAACGCUGCGGUGAAUACGUUCCCGGGCCUUGUACACACCGCCCGUCAAGUCACGAAAGUUGGUAACACCCGAAGCCGGUGGCCUAACCCCUUGUGGGAGGAGCUGUCGAAGUGGGACUGGC
rnacentral:rRNA from 1 species